CCGCAGGAGGAGGAGGAGGGAUUGUCCACCCCCGGCCCGGACCCUGGGAUGAGGCUGCAGCGGGCCGAAGCCGCGGUCAGAACAGUCCCGGGCAGAUGUCCCAGGGGAGCGGCCCGCUUCCCCGCCCCCUCGACGACCCUCAUGGAGACCCCCAGCCGGAGCCGCCCCCUGCCCCAGCUCAGGAGGCGGUCACAAGCUCUCCCAGCCUGCCCCAGCCAGAGGUAGCAGUGUCUUCACAGGAUCACACCCACCAUCCGAUCCACCCCAGCAGGACCAGAGAGGAGGAGGAGGAGGAGGAGACGGCAGCACCCUCCAUGCCCCAAGUCAGUGGACCAGCAUCUCUGCAGGCCUUGAGCAGCACUGACCUCAUCGGUCUCCCUCAAGCUGUG